UACAUGGGGUGCAAACGUUGCUCGGAAUUAUUGGGCGUAAAGCGCGCGUAGGCGGUUACUCAAGUCGGAUGUGAAAGCCCUCGGCUUAACUGAGGAAGUGCACCCGAAACUGAGUAGCUAGAGUACUAAAGAGGGUCGCGGAAUUCCCGGUGUAGAGGUGAAAUUCGUAGAUAUCGGGAGGAACACCGGUGGCGAAGGCAGGUCUCUGGGCUGACACUGACGCUCAUGCACGAAAGCGUGGGGAGCAAACAGG
rnacentral:rRNA from 1 species